rnacentral:rRNA from 1 species
CGGCGUAAAGCGUGGUUAAGGAAAUAAAAAGAAUAGGGCCGAACAACCUCAAAGCAGUUAUACGCAUUCGAGGUCACGAAGCACAGUCACGAAAGUGGCCCUACUAAAUCCCUGAUUCCACGAAAGCCAUAAAACAAACUGGGAUUAGAUACCCCACUAUGUAUGGUCGUUAACAUUGAUGGUUUUAUACCCAAACCAUCCGCCUGGGGACUACGAGCAUUAGCUUAAAACCCAAAGGACUUGGCGGUGCUUUAGACCCCCCUAGAGGAGCCUGUUCUAGAACUGAUAACCCCCGUUAAACCUCACCAUCCUUUGUUUAACCCGCCUAUAUACCACCGUCGUCAGCUUACCCUGUGAAGGAAAAAUAGUAAGCAUAAAUGGCAAAGCCAAAAACGUCAGGUCGAGGUGUAGCGAAUGGGAUGGGAAGAAAUGGGCUACAUUCUCUAUCACAGAGAAUACGAAUGGUAAUUUGAAAAAAAUACCUGAAGGAGGAUUUAGCAGUAAGUAGGGAAUAGAGCGCCCUGCUGAAAACGGCCCUGAAGCGCGCACACACCGCCCGUCACUCUCUCCAAAUAAACCCUAAAUAUUACCUAAAAUGUUUCAUAUAACAAGGGGAGGCAAGUCGUAACAUGGUAAGCGUACCGGAA